CAUUCUGCCCCCACCCAUGCCACUCCCUGGGCUGUGGUUUUCUCUCUAAGAUGGGGGACCAGGGUAGAAUUCACCUCAGUAGGAUGAUGUGAACUACCAGUAGGAUGCUGGAUGAAGAAGGACUUAAAUUUUUUUUUUCCAACUAGCAGUGAUAAGAAUGAGCCCUGUGGUUCACGCCUGUAAUCCCAGCUCCUUGGGAGGUAGAGGUUGGAGGAUUGCAGCUUGAGCGCAGCUUGGGUAAAAGGUUAUUGAGACAUUCCCUCUCACCCAUCUCAAUCAUCAGCUGGGCGCGGUGUUCAUGCCUGUCACUCCAGCUUCUUAGGAGGCCGUAGUUAGAAGGAUUGCCAUCCAGGAAAGCCUAGGUGAACACACUCAGGCCUUACCUCAACUAUGACAAGGGCAAAGAGGGCUGGAGGCGUGUCUCAGGUGGCAGAGCACCUGCCUGGCAAUCACAAGGCCCCUGAGUUCAAAUCCUACUACCACUGUGUGUGUGUGUGUGUGUGUGUGUGUGUGUGUGUGUGUGU